GUUGCGGCAAAUAAUGCUUCUUCCAACAACAGACAAGCGCUGAAACCUUUCCAGCACGUUUGCUCGGCCGGGAGUUUGGUGCUGGCCCGCGCGCCUCUUCCGGCCUCCUUCCAGCACCCCUGCACCCGGCCAGCGCGCAUCUGUGACCGCCAGUCCCACGCGGGCUGCCCCCACGUGGGCUUCCCACCUGUUCGCGCUCCCAGACGGGCUGAGACCGCUUCUCGCUCCCGCUCACGAAGCAGCUGCCGAGUGACACGGAGGGUGUCCGACUGCCGACUGCUGCCCGCCCGCCGCGUGCCAAGCGCUGGCCUGCGGACAGAGUCCCUGCGACAGUGGCGGGCGGACGUACACAGAACGGGAGCAUCCGCAGAGGGAGCCGCGGGGAAGACGCGCGAAACCGGCUGCGGCGAACGGCUGCAGCCCAGCGACGUCAGCGAGGGCAACGGAGGGGACGUGCGCGACACCGCGGGUGAAGGGAGUCGGAGGACGCGGUCCGCAGGGGGGACGGCGGUGCCGCGACGGGAGAGGCCGAGGCCGGGGCCGGGGCCGGAGGCCCGGCGGGCACCGACCGACCCUCCCGCCAGCAGUCAGCCCGCGGGCAGGACGCGUCGGGGGCGUCCCGAAAGUCUCCGCCGGCGGGCUCGGCUCUUGGGCAGAGACGCCACCAGGCCCCGCCCUUCCGGCCGGAAGCGGAAGUGGCGCGGGCAGCUCACUUCCGGGCGGGUUGCGGGCGGCGGUGGCGCGUACGGUGAGGCCCCUGCGGACGCGGGGGUGGGGCGGGUGCGGGCCCCCGGGUGGUGGUCGCCGGCCUCCGCCGCUGUCCCUCCCCGGCUCGGGCGGGUGGCGGGCGGGCGCGGGCCCGGGGCGGUGGCACAGCCCUGCGGCACCUUGGCCGCCCGGCCCCGCGUCUGUGCCGGCGGCAGUCGGGCGUCGCCUCCCCGUGGGCGCCGCCGUGUCUUCCUCGCGCCGGGCUGCGCCUCGCGUGGGUGCCUGUCCGGUUCCGAGGGCGCCCGCCGCCUCCGGGGACGACGGUCGGGAGCGCGGGCUGCCCCCGGGCCCGAGGCGCCGUCUGAGGCGCCCCGCAGGCUGUGUCCUCCGCGAGCGACCCUCCAGCCCCGCGGGGCAGCCGUGCGGGUGUUAGUGGCGCUGGACGGGCUGACAGCAGGUCCAAGCUAA
rnacentral:lncRNA from 1 species